CAGUAGCCGCGGUAAUACAGAGGGUGCGAGCGUUAAUCGGAUUUACUGGGCGUAAAGCGUGCGUAGGCGGCUUUUUAAGUCGGAUGUGAAAUCCCUAAGCUUAACUUAGGAAUUGCAUUCGAUACUGGGAAGCUAGAGUAUGGGAGAGGAUGGUAGAAUUCCAGGUGUAGCGGUGAAAUGCGUAGAGAUCUGGAGGAAUACCGAUGGCGAAGGCAGCCAUCUGGCCUAAUACUGACGCUGAGGUACGAAAGCAUGGGGAGCAAACAGGAUUAGAUACCCGCGUAGUCCCUGUCUCUUAUAC
rnacentral:rRNA from 1 species